GUAGUCUCGCACAGAUGCAUAUCAAUAAGCGGAGGAAAAGAAACUAACAAGGAUUCCCCUAGUAACGGCGAGUGAAGCGGGAAGAGCUCAAAUUUGAAAUCUUAAAGGGUUUCCCUUUACGAAUUGUAGUUUAAAGAAGUGUUUUCUGUUGAGGUUUUGGUAAAAGUUCUUUGGAAUAGGACAUCAUAGAGGGUGAGAAUCCCGUAUUUGACCUUUACUUUCAACUUUGUGAUACACUUUCAAAGAGUCGGAUUGUUUGGGAAUGCAGUCCAAAAUGGGCUGGUAAAUUUCAUCUAAAGCUAAAUAUUGGCGAGAGACCGAUAGCGAACAAGUACCGUGAGGGAAAGAUGAAAAGAACUUUGAAAAGAGAGUUAAACAGUACGUGAAAUUGUCAAAAGGGAAGCGUUUGACACCAGUGUUGUUUUUCUGAAAAUCAAUUAAAGAACUGUUUAUGCUAAGUUGUUUAGACUUUAUCAGCUAACUGUUUAGUUUUGAGCUUUUCUUUAAUGCACUUUUCAGUUAACAAGUCAACAUCAAUUUCUUUUGCUGUAAAAAAGCUUGAGGAAGGUGGCUUGAGAUUCGUCUUAAGUGGUUAUAGCCUCUUGCCUAUGCAGUCGGAGAGAUUGAGGUCUGCAGCGUAGAUCCUUCGGGGCUAAAUGCAUUUGUGCUAAGUUAUAGCAUUUUAUAGACAACUUGUUGACUAUGAUUUGUCUUGUAGCUUACUCGCUUAUGUUAUUUUACCUACGCUUAGGAUGUUGAACUCUAUCACACACA
rnacentral:rRNA from 1 species